GACGAACGCUGGCGGCGUGCUUAACACAUGCAAGUCGAACGGAUGGAACCCUUCGGGGUGAAGUCAGUGGCGGACGGGUGAGUAACGCGUGAGCAACUUGCCUUUCAGUGGGGAAUAACACAGGGAAACUUGUGCUAAUACCGCAUAACGUGCCGGGGAGACAUCUCUCUGGUACCAAAGGAGCAAUUCGCUGAAAGAUGGGCUCGCGUCCGAUUAGAUAGUUGGUGAGGUAACGGCCCACCAAGUCGACGAUCGGUAGCCGGACUGAGAGGUUGGCCGGCCACAUUGGAACUGAGAUACGGUCCAGACUCCUACGGGAGGCAGCAGUGGGGGAUAUUAGGCAAUGGGGGAAACCCUGACCUAGCAACGCCGCGUGAAGGAUGAAGGUUUUCGGAUUGUAAACUUCUUUGGCAGGGGACGAUAAUGACGGUACCCUGAGAACAAGCCACGGCUAACUACGUG
rnacentral:rRNA from 1 species